UACGUAGGGGGCAAGCGUUGUCCGGAUUUAUUGGGCGUAAAGCGCGCGCAGGCGGUUUAUUAAGUCUGAUGUGAAAGCCCACGGCUCAACCGUGGAGGGCCAUUGGAAACUGGUAGGCUUGAGUGCAGGAGAGGAGAGCGGAAUUCCCGGUGUAGCGGUGAAAUGCGUAGAUAUCAGGAGGAACACCCGUGGCGAAAGCGGCUCUCUGGGACGGUACUGACGCUGAGACGCGAAAGCGUGGGGAGCAAACAGG
rnacentral:rRNA from 1 species